rnacentral:rRNA from 1 species
GACAGAGGGUGCAAACGUUGUUCGGAAUUACUGGGCGUAAAGCGUGUGUAGGCGGCUUUGCAAGUCGGAUGUGAAAGCCCCGGGCUCAACCCGGGAAGUGCACUCGAUACUGCAGGGCUUGAGUAUCGGAGAGGUUGGUGGAAUUCUCGGUGUAGAGGUGAAAUUCGUAGAUAUCGAGAGGAACACCGGCGGCGAAGGCGGCCAACUGGACGAUAACUGACGCUGAGACACGAAAGCGUGGGGAGCAAACAGG